UGGGGAAUAUUGGACAAUGGGCGAAAGCCUGAUCCAGCAAUGCCGCGUGUGUGAAGAAGGUCUUCGGAUUGUAAAGCACUUUCGACGGGGACGAUGAUGACGGUACCCGUAGAAGAAGCCCCGGCUAACUUCGUGCCAGCAGCCGCGGUAAUACGAAGGGGGCUAGCGUUGCUCGGAAUGACUGGGCGUAAAGGGCGCGUAGGCGGAUGGCACAGUCAGAUGUGAAAUUCCCGGGCUUAACCUGGGGGCUGCAUUUGAUACGUGUGAUCUAGAGUGAGGAAGAGGGUCGUGGAAUUCCCAGUGUAGAGGUGAAAUUCGUAGAUAUUGGGAAGAACACCGGUGGCGAAGGCGGCGACCUGGUCCUUUACUGACGCUGAGGCGCGAAAGCGUGGGGAGCAAACAGG
rnacentral:rRNA from 1 species